rnacentral:rRNA from 1 species
CAACGCCGCGUGAGCGAUGAAGGCCUUCGGGUCGUAAAGCUCUGUGUUAGGGAAGAACAAGUAUCGUUCGAAUAGGGCGGUACCUUGACGGUACCUAACCAGAAAGCCACGGCUAACUACGUGCCAGCAGCCGCGGUAAUACGUAGGUGGCAAGCGUUGUCCGGAAUUAUUGGGCGUAAAGCGCGCGCAGGCGGUUCCUUAAGUCUGAUGUGAAAGCCCACGGCUCAACCGUGGAGGGUCAUUGGAAACUGGGGAACUUGAGUGCAGAAGAGGAGAGUGGAAUUCCACGUGUAGCGGUGAAAUGCGUAGAUAUCAGGAAGAACACCAAUGGCGAAGGCAGCUCUCUGGGACGGUACUGACGCUGAGACGCGAAAGCGUGGGGAGCGAACAGGAUUAGAUACCCUGGUAGUCCACGCCGUAAACGAUGGGUGCUAGGUGUGGGAGGUGUCGACUCCUUCCGUGCCGUAGCUAACGCAUUAAGCACCCCGCCUGGGGAGUACGGCCGCAAGGCUA